GUUUUGUUGACCCAAUAAGAUGAGCAUUGAAUCUGGGAGUAGGGCGAAGCCAUGCUCUCAGGAAAUGCAGUAAACUCUUUUACCUCUGUAUUUUAUCUCAAGGAGAGGCUGCUGCAGAACAACAGAUCCUGCAGGAAGUAGGUGUGGAGUUGAGCAGGGAUCGCCACACCUGCCCCAAGGAGGUAGGGAGCUCUCAGGAGGAAGCCCUCCUCGGCCUGAGGUGGGGCACCAGCCAGAGUACUCCAAAACAGCGUGUUUAGACUGCUUAGCCUCUGGGCUGUCCAUCCCCACUGACCCAUUCUGAAGGAAUCCCUCUUCCGUCUCAAUGCAGGGGUAGGGAGGAGUGGCCUUCCUACAACUCGGGCCUUGAGGUCCCACCCAGGCCAACUACUCAGACUGCCAGAGCUCCACAUUGGCACCGUCACACCCUCUUCUAUUCUUUUCUCAUCUCCUUUUGGCCUGCACUGCAUGCUGUCCUUUCCUCACUUGCACUUUUCUGAUAGCCAUUUACCCACCAUGUUAGUGGAGCUUGCUUUGGGAAACACAAUAAAAACUGGGA
rnacentral:lncRNA from 1 species